rnacentral:rRNA from 1 species
UAAGGAAUAUUGGUCAAUGGACGAAAGUCUGAACCAGCCAUGCCGCGUGAAGGAUGAAGGCCCUCUGGGUUGUAAACUUCUUUUAUCUGGGACGAAAAAAGGGAAUUCUUGCUCACUUGACGGUACCAGAGGAAUAAGCACCGGCUAACUCCGUGCCAGCAGCCGCGGUAAUACGGAGGGUGCAAGCGUUAUCCGGAUUUACUGGGUUUAAAGGGUGCGUAGGUGGGCAGGUAAGUCAGUGGUGAAAUCUUCGAGCUUAACUCGGAAACUGCCAUUGAUACUAUAUAUCUUGAAUUAUCUGGAGGUAAGCGGAAUAUGUCAUGUAGCGGUGAAAUGCUUAGAUAUGACAUAGAACACCCAUUGCGAAGGCAGCUUACUACGGAUCGAUUGACACUGAGGCACGAAAGCGUGGGGAUCAAACAGGAUUAGAUACCCCGGUAGUCC